rnacentral:rRNA from 1 species
GACAGAGGGGGCAAGCGUUGCUCGGAAUUACUGGGCGUAAAGGGCGCGUAGGCGGGAUGGCAAGUCGGUCGUGAAAUCCCUCGGCUCAACCGAGGAACGUCGAUCGAUACUGCUGUUCUUGAGGAUUGCAGAGGAGACUGGAAUUCCCGGUGUAGCGGUGAAAUGCGUAGAUAUCGAGAGGAACACCUGCGGCGAAGGCGGGUUGCUGGGCCGACACUGACGCUGAUGCGCGAAAGCCAGGGGAGCGAACGGG